UCUGCCGUCAGAGUGUGCUCGAGGAUUCCUACCUGCCGGCUAGCGGGUCCUCCGAGGCCAUUCUUCCCUGCGGAGUCAACCUGUCCUCGUGCGCCCUUUUUAUAUGUUUAAAUAAAUAUCUUAUUUUUCAAGUCGGAAGAACCUCCCUGUGACUCCUGUGUGCUGCGCUUGGGCCCACGCCCAUCUAACUUACCGUAACAGAUACAUUCUGGUGGAAACUGAAGGCAACUCAAGAUCCCUCUCAUCUGCUCCAUCAAAUGAUGAACCCUGACUCCUGACUCCUCUUGAUCAGCUCCUUCUGCCCCUCCAUGCUCCACUUCUGCAUCCUCAACCUCCUCUGGACGCCAUCGUCUUCCUUACCACUUUGCUCCUGUUCUUUGUUCGUCGCUUGUAGCUGGAAAUCCUCUGCCUCGCUUCUGAUCUGGCUCCCAACAUGUUUCAGUAGUUCUGCUGGUUGUCUGAUGAUUCUCCAGUUACUUUCGUCCUCUUAACUACGGUCAAGACCUUCUUCUGUUUUUGCUUCUUUUUCUUGUUUGUAGCUGUUUUCCACUUCCUCCUUUCCAUCUUAUCUUGUUUUACCUCUUACACUGGCAGAAAGUCACAGGGCAGGAACUGUGCAGUACUCUCAUUCACAAAGAUCACCAUUUCCCUUCUCCGAAGCAUGGAAAUUGUCAGCAAGGGUCAGAGUCUUUUGAAUUGGUCGCAGACAUGUUUUGUGAUUCUUCGACUGACUGCACUUGAACUGCAACUUUGGCUUUAGCUGACUCCAGCCCCCCCGCAACCCUGUAUGAAGGAUAAGCAGCUUUGCAGAUGGAUGGAUGAAUGGAUGGAUGGAUGGAUGCCCCUUGAUGCGGCAAAGUAAUCUGCAUUAAGUCAAGAGGCACUCAGCCUCUUAACUUCCUGGAUUGCUGGAACUGGAUCCUGCAGAACUUGACUAGUUAGCUGGAGCUGUGAAUAUUUUUCCACCAAAUGAACUGCUUUCUGACUGGCUUGUGUUGUCUUUUCUACAUUUAGCUCAUUAGCAGUGUUUCCAGUGUCUUCAGAUAUUUGCUUCACUGUUUCCAACAUUGUCCUGAGAAACUGCGUUGCAAUUUCCUCAUCUUUAUCAUGAUGACAUUAUCCAUAUGUUCGGUCAUUAGUCUGAUUAUCACUUGUCUUGUUAUGACAUUUUCAAUUGAAAUUGUAGUUCCACAACAGACCUCUUUGACCUGAGUCACUAAUAAACACUUUGGUUUUGUUUGAUUGCUGCUAAAUUGUGUAGUUAUUUAAAUAGUAUGUGGCGAUUAGAGUGCAAACUCUCCUUUCCCAUUGUGAAAAUAUUAUUUUUAAAGGACCACCCACCAGAAAAUAUGUAUUGUAGGAACACAAAAAAAUGUUUGUGAACUCUGGAAAUGAUUACAUAUUCUUUAACUGUCUACUAACUUUUAGACUUUACAAUACUCUGGAGUUUUUUUAAAUGUUUGGGUUGCAAACAAGUCUCAAAUUGCAUUGCAAUACACAAAUACGUUAAGGGUUGGAUCUUGAGAUGCCUCAAACUUGCUGUGUGAGCAAUACCGAAGGGAAAUUAUAGAUGGAGCGGGUGAUUCUCCAAUAUUUUAAAGAAAUUCUGCUAUUUACACUCCCUCCACUCAGACUCCCUGUUUUAUUGGCCUCCAAUUCGCUAAUAUACCUGACAAAUAUUUUUCUAUCCUCACAGACCAGACGAACAACUGACUAACAUCAGGAAAAACAUCACGUUUUGUACUUGUUAGAUAUAGUA
ensembl:lncRNA